rnacentral:lncRNA from 1 species
GCUGUCUAUUAUUAAGACAGUAUCUCACUGGCCUUGAAAUUACGAUGAAAUGGCUUGGAACCUUGAUCCUUCUACCUCUGUCUCCUGAAUGCUGGGAUUACAGGUAAGUGCCUGUAACCAUACCAAACUAGAACAUUGAUAUCUUGAAUGUUCACUAAAGACUUCUUAUCAGCUUAUAGUCUUAAUGAGGGGAUAUAUAUAUAUAUAUAUUAUAUAUCCCUUAAGGAAGAUAUUGGGGGCCUGCCUCUUUCUAUUGCUUCUCCCUGCCGUGAGGUGAGCAGGCCUCUUCCUUAGCCACAAGUGCCCACCAUGAUGUAAUAAACCAUAGCCAAAGGAACGGAUGAAACAUGGACUUGGAAAACUGUGAGCUAAAGAAAUUCUCUGGUUAUUUAGGGCAUUUAUUAUAGUAACAGAAAGCUAACAUCUUUAUUUUUAAGAUUUUUUUUAGCAGAUAUGGAAUUUGUUUUCUUUAAUCAGAUAUUCUUUGCUUUGUAUGAUUUCUGAUGAAAAGUCGGCUGUUCUUUUAUGUGUGCUUGUGAAUGUAGAAUGUUUCUAACUGCUGCUGUAACACUCUGAAUGUACCCAAUUGUUGUGGAGCCUUAGGGUUUUAAUUGUAAGUAAGGAAAAAUAUUUGGCUGUCUCUUCAAGUUUCAUCCCUGUACUUUUCCUCUCCAGCUAUGCCCAGGCUAGACCAUGUCGUUAUUUCCCCACAGGCCACAUCAGUGAUUCUCAACCUCCUUUUCUUGUACUUGUUUGGUUCCUUCUGAUAAGUUAAAAUUCAUACAUCUUUCUAACCGUAUUGUCUAAUCUGUGUACUCCCAACCAGGGUAUAUUCUAGAAAUUCCACUUGCUGAGUUUAAGUAUUUUUCUCAGUAUGUUCACUUUCUUUUACAUCCUUGAAAAUAUAAUAGCUAUUUUUAAAGUCCUUA